AUACUCUCUUAGGCAGCACAUAUUCUGAAACUGGAACGAUACAGAGGACAUUAGUAUGGCCCCUGGGCAAUGAUGACAUGCAAAUUUGUAAAGCGCUCCAUAUUUUU